CAGCCUGUUCCAAUGCCCGACCACUCUUUGGGUGAAAAAUUCCUUCCUAAUGUUCAAUCUAAACCCACCCUGUUGGAGCUUGAAGCCGUUCCCUCUCGUUCUAUUGUUAAUUACCUGUGUCUCUGAUCUCCAAACCCCUGAGCCCUGAGCAGGACAGAGGGGUGGGGAGCAGAGUGGCCACAGCCUGUGGCCAAGGCAGGGACCUGCCACCCUUGGGGGACGCAUUUGGAGUCCCAGGGCUGGUGGCCAAGCAGAGGGAGGUGGUACCUGUGCUGGCUCAGCCAGAGCUGCUGCAGCCCUGGCACCUCUGGAACAUCUGCUGGGCCUCAGAGCCAGCCCAGCAGCAGCUCAGCAGGAGUUUGGAGGAACAUGAGAUGCCGAGGAGGAGGCCACUGCAAAUUGGUCUUGGAACCCCUGUCCUCCCCCUGGGGAGAGCCCUUCCAGCCACCCGAGCAGCCCUCCUCCCCUCUUACACCACAUCUCCAGGGGGUAACCCCACCUCUAUCAGCCUGUCGAGGAGGAGGCCACUGCAAAUUGGUCUUGGAACCCCUGUCCUCCCCCUGGGGAGAGCCCUUCCAGCCACCCGAGCAGCCCUCCUCCCCUCUUACACCACAUCUCCAGGGGGUUCUGCUGCCCACCAGGGAGGGAGCAGGGGAUGCUCCUUUGGGGUCUCACCACUGGAGCCCAGCUCGAAACACCCCUUCAUCAUCCAUGGGACUUCAGGGCUGGGGGGGGUGUGGGGCAAAGGCUCACCCCACACGUUCAGCAUAACAUCUCCUGGGAGGAAGGAUGAAAAGUGGAUGAUUUGUUCUUGUAGCGGGUGUAAGUAAAGGAAGGGAAAAGGGGCAUGCAACAUUCCUACUUCAAUUUGGGGUUGUUGCUGUGAUACGCGCCAGCCCGGUCUGGUCAGUGAAUGAAGAGUGGUUCUUACAGCUUAUUCUAUGGGAAGAAAUUUAAAAAAAAAAAAAAAAAAAAAAGUAUUAAGAAUAUCCUUGCUUUAGAGUAAGUUAGCUUGGACUCAACAAAAAAGAAAGAUUUUGUUUAUAUGCAAAGUAUUUAAAUUUUUGUUACCAGUAGGAAGGCAGUAGUAGUCUUAUCUCUCCAGAGAUGUGCACUCAUUUAGGUUAUAUUUAAUUGAAAAAUAUUUUUAAAAUAUGUAUUUGCAUUUGAUGGGCUAAGGCCUCUAAUUUUAUAUUAUUUACAAGACUUAGUGUGGAAAUUACGUUUUCCCAUUUAUUGAGCUACCUACCCGUGCUAGUUGUCCGUUUGCAUACAGAAUAUUUCCACGACCUAGAGGGUUUGGGGUUGGUGUUUUUUUAUUUUUUAAAACACUCUCCUUUUUUUUUAAAAAAAAAAAAGCAAUGCUUUUUGUAUGUUGCUCAGUAGAAAAAAAAACAACAUCCCUUACCAGGGCCCCCAGUACGUGAUCCACAGAACCCAGUGACUUGAAAAAAACAUUGCUGGAGGGGAAGUCUUCUGCUGCCGUGUCUCCGUAGGGUGAGGGUGCUCAGCAGAGGACCUGUCCCCAGGAGGGUUAGGCAGGGGUGGCUGUAGGACACUUGGUGUCGUCAGGGGUGGCUGUAGGACACUUGGGGUGAUCAGGGGUGGCUGUAGGACACUUGGUGUCGUCAGGGGUGGCUGUAGGACACUUGGGGUGGCAGGGGUGGCUGUAGGACACUUGGGGUGGCCAGGGGUGGCUGUAGGACACUUGGGGUGGUCAGGGAUGGCUGUAGGACACUUGGGGUGGCAGGGGAGGUUCUCCAGAGGUGAGAGCUCUCCCUUCCCAGGCCGUGCCCCUGGCACAGCAGGAGGAGGUGACCACUGCCUUCUUCUGGGGCUGGUGUGGCUCCUGCUGCCGUCCCACGACGCAGAGCUCCGGGUGCAGCCACCACUGCUCUGCUGGCACACACUACCACAGAGUUAACCUUUUAAAAUGAGAAAGAGCUUCCAACUCUGGCACUAAUGGAAAUACUGAAUACUUUAUAUAUAUAUAUAUAUAUAAAAAAAAACAAAACCCCACACAUAUACUUGGAAAGUAUUUGAAAAAAGUGUUUUGUCUUUUUUUAUACAACUUUUAGCCAAAUAGAAGUAUUCUGAUUAUUACUUCUGUGGAUACCUGCCCACCUGUAAAUAAACUCCUAUAACCAGGUCCGUGGACCUGAAUA
rnacentral:lncRNA from 1 species